UUGUUCCCCUUUUUAGCCCACAUAUGUUGGUUUCUGAUACUCAUUCCUUACUUUUCUGUUUCAGAAAAAAAAUUGUGUGCUGGACUGAAGUAUCGAAACACACUUGGGAUUUCUGUUUCCUGUAACAUUUUAUUUGGGGAGUUUGUGACUUCUAGACCUGAAUGGUUGUGCAUGGACCAGAAUAUGAAUGAAGGAUACUUUAGUAACAUUUAUGUAGAGGUUGUGACCUCCAUAUCCAUUCGUUUUUGCUCUGAUUCUUGGGAGUAAUCCUGAUUGAUUUGAUGUAUUUGGUUAAUUAGGGUGACAUUUUUUUGGCUGAUUUGGGUGACGAAUUUGAUACUUAUGUGAAUUGUUUGGAAGUUUCUUGGCUGAUAUGCGUCGUUGUGGUAGUUCUUCAGCUAAUUGCUCUGCUCUGCGGUCGAGGGGGGAGCCGCCAGAGAGAGAACCAAUCAAUGCACAAGGAGUCGAUAGUUUCAGCAUAAUAUUAGGCUUCUCCAUGUGAUGUGAUACUCUUGGGAUGAUGAUGGUUACACGAGGGUGGUCUUUUUUGCAGGGCCAAUGAUGUGUGCAAGGACGGAAAGAGGCAGUCGAUCAACGCUGAAGACGUCUUCAAGGCGCUCGAUGAGAUCGAGUUCCCAGAGUUUGUAGAUCCCCUGAGGACUGCACUGUUAGGAGGUUGGGUAGGUUUGAGCAUCUGACUUAUAAUCUAGGUUGAUGGUGUUUGGCAUUAUUGGUUCAAUCCACGUGGAGGUCCUCGCCGUCAUUGCAGCUGCGGGACAAGACGGCAAGGAGUUUGUGCGCCUGCCUUACCUCUGUACAAAAUAAACUGCAGAUACAAAAAAUGAAAAAGCAGAGCACUGUUAUUUCUCCA